rnacentral:rRNA from 1 species
CCUACGGGAGGCAGCAGUGAGGAAUAUUGGUCAAUGGGCGCGCGCCUGAACCAGCCAAGUAGCGUGAAGGAUGACUGCCCUACGGGUUGUAAACUUCUUUUAUAAAGGAAUAAAGUGAGGCACGUGUGCCUUUUUGUAUGGACUUUAUGAAUAAGGAUCGGCUAACUCCGUGCCAGCAGCCGCGGGAAUACGGAGGAUCGGAGCGUUAUCCGGAUUUAUUGGGGUUAAAGGGAGCGUAGAUGGGUUGUUAAGUCAGUUGGGAAAGUUUGCGGCUCAACCGUAAAAUUGCAAUUGAUACUGGCAGUCUUGAGUAGAGUUGAGGUAGGCGGAAUUCGUGGUGUAGCGGUGAAAUGCUUAGAUAUCACGAAGAACUCCGAUUGCGAAGGCAGCUUACUAAACUGCCACUGACAUUGAUGCACGAAAGUGUGGGUAUCGAACAGGAUUAGAUACCCGGGUAGUC